GGACUGAGACACGGCCCAGACUCCUACGGGAGGCAGCAGUGGGGAAUAUUGCACAAUGGGCGAAAGCCUGAUGCAGCGACGCCGCGUGAGGGAUGACGGCCUUCGGGUUGUAAACCUCUUUCAGCAGGGAAGAAGCGAAAGUGACGGUACCUGCAGAAGUUGCGCCGGCUAACUACGUGCCAGCAGCCGCGGUAAUACGUAGGGCGCAAGCGUUGUCCGGAAUUAUUGGGCGUAAAGAGCUCGUAGGCGGUCUGUCGCGUCGGAUGUGAAAGCCCGGGGCUUAACCCCGGGUCUGCAUUCGAUACGGGCAGACUAGAGUUUGGUAGGGGAGAUCGGAAUUCCUGGUGUAGCGGUGAAAUGCGCAGAUAUCAGGAGGAACACCGGUGGCGAAGGCGGAUCUCUGGGCCAUUACUGACGCUGAGGAGCGAAAGCGUGGGGAGCGAACAGGAUUAGAUACCCUGGUAGUCCACGCCGUAAACGGUGGGAACUAGGUGUUGGCGACAUUCCACGUCGUCGGUGCCGCAGCUAACGCAUUAAGUUCCCCGCCUGGGGAGUACGGCCGCAAGGCUAAAACUCAAAGGAAUUGACGGGGGCCCGCACAAGCAGCGGACCAUGUGGCUUAAUUCGACGCAACGCGAAGAACCUUACCAAGGCUUGACAUACACCGGAAACGGCCAGAGAUGGUCGCCCCCUUGUGGUCGGUGUACAGG
rnacentral:rRNA from 1 species